rnacentral:lncRNA from 1 species
CAAAAUCAAACCAUCCCACGCGCCCGUCGGACGGAGCGUGAAGUAAAGAGCUAUGGCCCCACCUAAGGACUCGGAAUACAAAAACGCGGGCAAAUCCGGUGCGUGUCUCAGAAUGACAUAUCACAUGUUAUAUUAAUUAUUUGGGAUGAAAUUUAAAAUAAAUAAAUUUAGUAUGCUUGCUUUUGCAUAAAACCAUCCCACGCGCCCGUCGGACGGAGCGUGAAGUAAAGAGCUAUGGCCCCACCUAAGGACCCGGAAUACAAAAACGCGGGCGAAUCCGGUGCGUGUCUCAGAAUGACAUAUCACAUGUUAUAUUAAUUAUUUGGGAUGAAAUUUAAAAUAAAUAAAUUUAGUAUGCUUGCUUUUGCAUAAAACCUUCUUUUUUUUGUAGGGUUAUUUUGGAUCUAAUAAUUUAAUUUAUAAAUAUAUUUUUGUUUUAUCAAUAAUAACAUUUAAUUUGCAACUGCAGGGGAUCUCUACUCCCUAGUGUUGGCUCGAGGAGACCUUGGCAACAACCAUUGCAACGAAUAUAUGAUAAGUUUUAUCACGACAAUUACUUGUUAAUUAAUUUCUUUGCACUUGAUGUACAACACAUAUCAUAUUAUAUCAAUUUUAAAGCUAUAUACUGAGAAUUCUAACAUAAUCAAAUGCAUAUAGGAGCAAUUAAUUGACAAUCAACACACCAAUUAGGAAAGCUAAACAUGUAUAAGGAAUUUACUGAGUAUCAGUAACAUAGUAGAAAUAUGAUAAAGUUAUGGUGAGACAUCUGUGACAAAAAAAUAAGUCAAUAUUUAAUUAUUAAAUAUAAAUUAUCACUAUAUUUGGUAUUGAGAUGUUGUGAUUAAAAAAAAUGAGAAAGUAUGGUAAUAUGUAAUAAUUUUAAAAGUUAUUAUGACUUUUUAUUAUAUAAAUAAAAUAAACUUAAUUUUUAGAUUAUAGCAGUAAGUAUUUAUUAAGC